rnacentral:tRNA from 1 species
UCCCUAGUGGCUCAGUUGGUAAAGAAUCUGUUUAUAAUCCAGGAGACCUAGGUUUGAUCCCUAGUUCGGGAG